rnacentral:rRNA from 1 species
AUGAAAGCACGGAGGCCUACGGCUGGUCACGGUCAGCUGUGGGAAGCAGGGCACGACAAAGGGCCUGAACCCGCCGGAGUCGGGACGAAGGCGAGCUCCGGUGACGGGACUUGGCGGCGGGGCCGGCCAGAACUGCUGGUGGUGGCGCCCGGCGUCCUAGGUGAAGCGGCGGCCGUGGACUUGGCUGAAGAGGACGGCUCGGGCAGGAGGCGCGAGCAUAGGGACUUGGCUGGCGGGGCUCCUCAGCGCAGGAAGCAGUGGGCGAUGGCGCUGGUCGCAGAGCAAGGCAAGGUCGAAGGAGCAGGAGAGAGCACGCAGGCGAACUUGAUGACGAGGGCCCUGGUCACGGGCGCGCGAGGAAGAGAAGAAGGAGGCCAUGGCAGGAGGCGCGGCGGCGCUCUCUGGCAGCUCGAGGCAAAGGUGAACGGCGGCGAGGAGGCUAACGGGCUCCGGCCUGGCUCCCUGGACCGAAGGAGGAGGUAG